GUAGUGGGUCAGGCAGCCGUGGCGCUGGAAGGCGCCAAGGAAAGUCCGAACUCCAAAGGGCAGGAUGCCUGGUAAUGCCAGGGUUCCGUCCCGAUUACGCUCAGGUGAGCGGCACGGGGUGGAAACGGAAAGUGCCACAGAAAAAAUACCGCCCCGUCCCUGUGGGACAGGGCAAGGGUGAAAAGGCGAGGUAAGAGCUCACCGCUCCGCCAGUGAUGGCGGAGGCAAGGUAAACCCCAUCCGGAGCAAGACCAAGCAGGAGGAAUGUUCUGCUCAAUGUAUAAAGUAUGUAGCGGCAGAACGCGAUGUGGCACCGCAUCGCAUCUCGCUCAGGGCGGGAUAGACCUCCGGGUAGGUCGCUUGAGGUCCCGAGCAAUCGAGAUCCCAGAGAAAUGGCUGCCUCUCCUCGUCCUGUGUCGUCUCAACGGAAGGACGCAGGACAGGGAAAGACAGAAUUCGGCUUAUCGAUCCAUUACAGCC
rnacentral:RNase_P_RNA from 1 species